ensembl:lncRNA
UAUACUCCUGUAAAUUCGGAUAUUUUACUUCUUGAGUUGCUGACAAACUGAUUUCCAUAGUAGCUGUAUUUUAAAUUCCUCCAAUGUAUUAGGGUUCCAAUUUUUCCACAUUCUUGCCAACACUUGUUAUUGUGUAUAUUUUUGGUUAUUGCCUUGGCUGUUAUCCACUACCACAAGCAGCUGCAAGAUUAAACAACUGUCUUUAAUUGUGAUUACCAUCUCCUGUGGAAAGUCUCUUCACACUGGGUAAACGUUGAGUCAGAUCAAAUAAAGGCAGGCUUCCUAGUGAAAGUGGGGUUUUUCAGAGCCACCAGAUGGGUCAAAUAACCACAUUUCUCUGGUAGUGAGUAAAGAUGGAGCUCCAACCUAGUUUUGCCACCUCCAGUGGCUGUCAGUUGCUGGUUUUAUUGUAGUUGCAGCUGUUGGAUUAGAGGCAACCACAGUCACAGAGAUGGGUGGAUGGAAAUAAGAUAAAACACCACAAAGCUAUUUGUUCUUAUACAGCUUCAGUCAUUUUUUCCUUGAAAAAAUUUCUCCUGAAUUGCUGCCUACCUUUGGUUAUUCGGGAGCACUGACAAAGUUAAUUCUGACAAUUUUUGCCAAUCUUCUUGUUGGUUUUAUGGAGGAGAAAAUUUUCAAGAGUACUUUGUCAUUUCUGCUGACUCUAUUGGGUCUUUUUUUUUUUUUUCGAGGAAGAUUAGCUCUGAGCUAACUGCUGCCAAUCCUCCUCUUUUUACUGAGGAAGACUGGCCCUGAGCUAACAUCUGUGCCCAUCUUCCUCUACUUUAUAUGUGGGACGCCUACCACAGCAUGGCUUUUGCCAAGCGGUGCCAUGUCCACACCCGGGAUCCGAACCAGCGAACCCCGGGCCAGCAAAGCAGAACAUGCGAACUUAACCUCUGUGCCUCCAGGCUCAGCCACUAUUGGGUCUUAACCCUGGUUUGGACUGUGAACUUUGUCUUCUGUCCUCGACACCCCACGAGAAACACAAAGCUGAAGUUUGCCUGAUAAUACCAAUGCUGUUAAGUUCAUUUGACAAUGUGGACCUGGAGUCAAUUGGGAAAGGCCGAAAUUCACUUCUUGCUUCAGAAACUGUUCAGAAAAAGCUCCCAGAUGAUCCAGAUCACAGAACAUUCCCCACCCUUCUUGCUGGUCCAAUGCUGGGAUGAGACUCUAUGUGCUGGAAUAAGCAACAUGUUCAAGAUCAGGGUGUGUGUCACUUGGUCCUGGAAUCCACAGCUGUGGCCGCAGCUUCCUGAGAUUGCAGCUUCUUGAUCACUGUACUCACAGAAGAAACACUACUGACCAUCCUCUGUGCUGUGGUUUUAGAAGUCCCUUCUAUAAGCUCAGUUUUAAGUUAUUUUCUUACUCCUUUUUAAAAGACCAGUUAGGAUGGUUUCUCUCUUGCCUUUUUUUUUUCUUCUUUUGCCAUUUUCUGCAACCUGAAUAAGAUACAUGCCAAAAUCUUAAAAAUGGCUGUCUAGGAUUAAAUCCACAGAAUAACUGCUUCAUGUUGCCUGUUUUCUAUUUUACAUUUGUAUAUUCUUUUAUUUGUUACAAUAUAUGAGUGACACUUUAACAUUUAUUUUAAGUCAUUUUAUAUUUACAUCUUGGAAAAAUUUAGAAAAUAUUAAAACUUUUUACUUGUCAAAAUUUUACUUAUGUUCCAUCAUUUUUCAUAAAUUUAUGUAUUUAUGAAAAUAAUACAACUAUCUGCUUGGGAAAAAAAGCUUUAAAGUUCAACUCAAACUAAUUCAAUCUAUAAAGUUAAAAACUCAAAAUUUUUGUCCCCUGCCCUGUUCAACUGUCUUCCCUUAGUCAACUGUUUCCCACAUUUUUUCUUGCGUUUACCUUUAUAUUUUAAAAAUAACAUAUUGAUGCUGCUAUCUCUUGAUUCAUAGUUCCAGAUAUAACUCAAGGACUUUCUAAUAACGAGAUUAAGUACUUACCUUGCAGAGAGCAUUAUCUUCCCUACACACGAACUUUUCUGAUUUUCAUCCUCCAAAUAAAGUAAUAAUACCUUAAUAUUGUUUUAAAUCAUUAUUCAGGGACUAUAUUUAUAUAAUUUUUAAAUAUUUAUCACUUAUAAACCUAUAAACUGAAACUAUAUUUUUCCCUGUUUAUCCUUUAUUUUUUAAAAAAAUAGAUUAAUCAUUGACUUAUUUUUAUGGUAGUUAUGUUUCAUUUUUGCCAAGCUUUAAUUUUUCAAAAUUGUCCAAUAGUUUUUCAAUAUUUUUUCUCCACCCGAUCCUUAUUUUCGCCCUGGAGUAUUUGGACUCUGUUCACUCUGGGUUCACGUUAUUCUCUCUAGGCGCACUAUUGACCUUCAAUGGCUCUUCACCAUCACCCUGGAAAUUUCAUUCAACUCUGCUUAUUUUGUAGAUUGUGUUUCCUGGAUCUUAUGUCCUCAAUAUUUUGGCCUUGCUCUCACAUCUUUUUGGAAUGCGUCUUCUACAAACUUCCUGUAAAAGGGAGAACAACAUAUGCAUUUUGGAGAUUUUACAUAUCAGAAAAUAUAUUUUCAUACUUGAAUAAGCAUUUCUCUACAUUAAAAUACCAAAUUGAGAAAAGUUUUGUCUAAGAAAGAGGUUUGCUUUGCAUUGUCAUUUGCUAAUUUUUCUAUUAAAAACAGGCUGCAAUGUCACUACUUCAUUUUUUAUAGAUGAUCUAUUAUUUCCUUCCCUUUAUCCCUCUGUUAAUACGUCGGUUCUCCUUAAAAGAUUGCAGUCAAAUCUUUCACUCUGUUUAUAGCGUGAUUUAUUCCUUUUCCUCCUUUCAUUACACCUAUUGUCUAAACUAUCUUGGUCUUUAUGGUGAUGUUUUAACAGAAAGUAAGACUUCUUACUGUAAGCACUUAGAUCUCAGCUUAUUACCCUGUUAUAUCAGUUAAAAUACUCCCAUAAAUAUUGUCUUUCCGAAAUAUAUUAAAAACUCUCCAGUGCCACUGUCUCCUGUCCCUUUCCAUUUACACCAAUGGUUAUAUAUAAUCCUGUCUUGUGUCCUAAGAAAGGAAUGUACUAAAUGCUUAUGUUUAAAAUGCCAAGUUUGACCAAAGUCAUAUGAAGGUAUCAUCACAAAUUAGAAUGUAUUGUCCCAGUCCCUUGUUUUGAUAUUUGUAUCAUCUUUAUUGUGUUCUCAGUUUCUCGCACUUUAUGAAUAGGAAACAUUUGCUUUUUUUCUUGAUGAUAUUUCCAGGCUUGUAAAAAUAUUUGGCAUGUAUAAUCAUUUUUGUUACCAUUGCUGUCAGUGGUAACCUAUUGAAUACUUAACAUGUGCCAAUCGAUUUGCAAAAUGUUUUAAAUUAUGUUUUGUUUUUAAACUAUGUGAAACAUUUACAUAUUUCAGAAUUAAAAUUAUAAAAUAAGAUUUAUUAAAGAGGUUUAGAGUGUAUCCCUGUCCUUGCUCCAUACUUACUUCCUCCAAUU